rnacentral:sRNA from 1 species
GCGCCUGCGCGGAGCCGCGCGUUGGCCUCCUGUUCCGCUUAAAGGGGCGGUGCAGAGGCGGCAAGAAGAUGGAGUUGGGGAGUUGCCUGGAGGGCGGGAGGGAGGCGGCGGAGGAAGAGGGCGAGCCCGAGGUGAAAAAGCGGCGACUUCUGUGUGUGGAGUUUGCCUCGGUCGCAAGCUGCGAUGCCGCUGUGGCUCAGUGCUUCCUGGCCGAGAACGACUGGGAGAUGGAAAGGGCUCUGAACUCCUACUUCGAGCCUCCGGUGGAGGAGAGCGCCUUGGAACGCCGACCUGAAACCAUCUCUGAGCCCAAGACCUAGUGAAUGUGUCAGGAAAUGAGCUUUGCCUUAUGACAUCCCAUUUGGAGAGCACCAGAGGGCAUGCUGUGGAACGAAUGAAUCAGUUAAAAAUGGUUUUAAAGAAAAUGCAAGAGGCUCCAGAAUCAGCUACAGUUAUAUUUGCAGGAGAUACAAAUCUAAGGGAUCGAGAGGUUACCAGAUGUGGUGGUUUACCCAACAACAUUGUGGAUGUCUGGGAGUUUUUGGGCAAACCUAAACAUUGCCAGUAUACAUG